rnacentral:rRNA from 1 species
CCUACGGGAGGCUGCAGUGAGGAAUAUUGGUCAAUGGACGAGAGUCUGAACCAGCCAAGUAGCGUGAAGGAUGACUGCCCUAUGGGUUGUAAACUUCUUUUAUAUGGGAAUAAAAUGUUCCACGUGUGGGAUUUUGUAUGUACCAUAUGAAUAAGGAUCGGCUAACUCCGUGCCAGCAGCCGCGGUAAUACGGAGGAUCCGAGCGUUAUCCGGUUUUAUUGGGUUUAAAGGGAGCGUAGGUGGAUUGUUAAGUCAGUUGUGAAAGUUUGCGGCUCAACCGUAAAAUUGCAGUUGAAACUGGCAGUCUUGAAUACAGUAGAGGUGGGCGGAAUUCGUGGUGUAGCGGUGAAAUGCUUAGAUAUCACGAAGAACUCCGAUUGCGAAGGCAGUUCACUGGACUGCAACUGACACUGAGGCUCGAAAGUGUGGGUAUCAAACAGGAUUAGAUACCCCAGUAGUC